rnacentral:tRNA from 1 species
AAGGUUCUAGCUUAAUUAAAGCAUCUGAGUUGUAUUCGGGGGAUGCAGGUUAGUGUCCUGCGAGUCUUA